rnacentral:rRNA from 1 species
UACGUAGGUGGCAAGCGUUGUCCGGAAUUAUUGGGCGUAAAGAGCAUGUAGGUGGGCUUUUAAGUCCGAUGUGAAAAUGCGGGGCUCAACCCCGUAUGGCAUUGGAUACUGGAAGUCUUGAGUGCAGGAGAGGAAAGGGGAAUUCCCAGUGUAGCGGUGAAAUGCGUAGAUAUUGGGAGGAACACCAGUGGCGAAGGCGCCUUUCUGGACUGUGUCUGACACUGAGAUGCGAAAGCUAGGGUAGCAAACGGGAUUAGAUACCCCGGUAGUCCUAGCCGUAAACGAUGGGUACUAGGUGUAGGGGGUAUCGACCCCCCCUGUGCCGGAGUUAACGCAAUAAGUACCCCGCCUGGGGACUACGGUCGCAAGACUGAA